CCUGGCUCAGGAUGAACGCUAGCUACAGGCUUAACACAUGCAAGUCGAGGGGCAGCAUGGUCUUAGCUUGCUAAGGCCGAUGGCGACCGGCGCACGGGUGAGUAACACGUAUCCAACCUGCCGUCUACUCUUGGACAGCCUUCUGAAAGGAAGAUUAAUACAAGAUGGCAUCAUGAGUCCGCAUGUUCGCAUGAUUAAAGGUAUUCCGGUAGACGAUGGGGAUGCGUUCCAUUAGAUAGUAGGCGGGGUAACGGCCCACCUAGUCUUCGAUGGAUAGGGGUUCUGAGAGGAAGGUCCCCCACAUUGGAACUGAGACACGGUCCAAACUCCUACGGGAGGCAGCAGUGAGGAAUAUUGGUCAAUGGGCGAGAGCCUGAACCAGCCAAGUAGCGUGAAGGAUGACUGCCCUAUGGGUUGUAAACUUCUUUUAUAAAGGAAUAAAGUCGGGUAUGGAUACCCGUUUGCAUGUACUUUAUGAAUAAGGAUCGGCUAACUCCGUGCCAGCAGCCGCGGUAAUACGGAGGAUCCGAGCGUUAUCCGGAUUUAUUGGGUUUAAAGGGAGCGUAGAUGGAUGUUUAAGUCAGUUGUGAAAGUUUGCGGCUCAACCGUAAGAUUGCAGUUGAUACUGGAUAUCUUGAGUGCAGUUGAGGCAGGCGGAAUUCGUGGUGUAGCGGUGAAAUGCUUAGAUAUCACGAAGAACUCCGAUUGCGAAGGCAGCCUGCUAAGCUGCAACUGACAUUGAGGCUCGAAAGUGUGGGUAUCAAACAGGAUUAGAUACCCUGGUAGUCCACACGGUAAACGAUGAAUACUCGCUGUUUGCGAUAUACUGCAAGCGGCCAAGCGAAAGCGUUAAGUAUUCCACCUGGGGAGUACGCCGGCAACGGUGAAACUCAAAGGAAUUGACGGGGGCCCGCACAAGCGGAGGAACAUGUGGUUUAAUUCGAUGAUACGCGAGGAACCUUACCCGGGCUUAAAUUGCAGAUGAAUUACGGUGAAAGCCGUAAGCCGCAAGGCAUCUGUGAAGGUGCUGCAUGGUUGUCGUCAGCUCGUGCCGUGAGGUGUCGGCUUAAGUGCCAUAACGAGCGCAACCCUUGUUGUCAGUUACUAACAGGUUCCGCUGAGGACUCUGACAAGACUGCCAUCGUAAGAUGUGAGGAAGGUGGGGAUGACGUCAAAUCAGCACGGCCCUUACGUCCGGGGCUACACACGUGUUACAAUGGGGGGUACAGAGGGCCGCUACCACGCGAGUGGAUGCCAAUCCCCAAAACCUCUCUCAGUUCGGACUGGGGUCUGCAACCCGACUCCACGAAGCUGGAUUCGCUAGUAAUCGCGCAUCAGCCACGGCGCGGUGAAUACGUUCCCGGGCCUUGUACACACCGCCC
rnacentral:rRNA from 1 species